rnacentral:rRNA from 1 species
CAGCCGUAAACUAUGCGCGUUAGGUGUAUCGGUGACCACGAGUUACCGAGGUGCCGAAGGGAAACCGUGAAACGUGCCGCCUGGGAAGUACGGUCGCAAGGCUGAAACUUAAAGGAAUUGGCGGGGGAGCACAACAACGGGUGGAGCCUGCGGUUUAAUUGGACUCAACGCCGGACAACUCACCGGGAACGACAGCAAUAUGUAGGCCAGGCUGAAGACCUUGCCUGAAUCGCUGAGAGGAGGUGCAUGGCGUAGACGUCU